GAUGAACGCUGGCGGCGUGCCUAAUACAUGCCAGUCGAGCGAACGGACGAGAAGCUUGCUUUUCUGAUGUUAGCGGCGGACGGGUGAGUAACACGUGGAUAACCUACCUAUAAGACUGGGAUAACUUCGGGAAACCGGAGCUAAUACCGGAUAAUAUUUUGAACCGCAUGGUUCAAAAGUGAAAGACGGUCUUGCUGUCACUUAUAGAUGGAUCCGCGCUGCAUUAGCUAGUUGGUAGGGUAACGGCUUACCAAGGCAACGAUGCAUAGCCGACCUGAGAGGGUGAUCGGCCACACUGGAACUGAGACACGGUCCAGACUCCUACGGGAGGCAGCAGUAGGGAAUCUUCCGCAAUGGGCGAAAGCCUGACGGAGCAACGCCGCGUGAGUGAUGAAGGUCUUCGGAUCGUAAAACUCUGUUAUUAGGGAAGAACAUAUGUGUAAGUAACUGUGCACAUCUUGACGGUACCUAAUCAGAAAGCCACGGCUAACUACG
rnacentral:rRNA from 1 species